rnacentral:lncRNA from 1 species
AGCCCUGCCAAAUUUCUUUAUGAAGAUAUGGGAAACACAGGCCACGGACCCAUAACUCAUCAAGAACCUUGGUAAGUUCACUUCGGAUGACUCUCAUGAUUUCAGGAUCUCUGAUGACGGGUUGUUCAGAUUCUGAAAUCGAAUUUAGGUCUCCGAUGUAGUACGCACAAAUGCACUCAAGACCGCCCAUGCUUCCAAGUUGUCCAUU